UGGGGAAUUUUGGACAAUGGGCGCAAGCCUGAUCCAGCCAUGCCGCGUGCGGGAAGAAGGCCUUCGGGUUGUAAACCGCUUUUGUCAGGGAAGAAAUCUUCUGAGUUAAUACCUCGGGAGGAUGACGGUACCUGAAGAAUAAGCACCGGCUAACUACGUGCCAGCAGCCGCGGUAAUACGUAGGGUGCAAGCGUUAAUCGGAAUUACUGGGCGUAAAGCGUGCGCAGGCGGUUUUGUAAGACAGAGGUGAAAUCCCCGGGCUCAACCUGGGAACUGCCUUUGUGACUGCAAGGCUUGAGUGCGGCAGAGGGGGGAUGGAAUUCCGCGUGUAGCAGUGAAAUGCGUAGAUAUGCGGAGGAACACCGAUGGCGAAGGCAAUCCCCUGGGCCUGCACUGACGCUCAUGCACGAAAGCGUGGGGAGCAAAACAGGAUUAGAUCCCUGGUAGUCCACGCCCUAAAACGAUGUC
rnacentral:rRNA from 1 species